rnacentral:rRNA from 1 species
UACAGAGGGUGCGAGCGUUAAUCGGAAUUACUGGGCGUAAAGCGCGCGUAGGCGGCUUUUCAAGUCGAUUGUGAAAUCCCCGGGCUUAACCUGGGAACUGCAGUCGAGACUGUCUAGCUAGAGUAUGGGAGAGGGAAGUGGAAUUUCAGGUGUAGCGGUGAAAUGCGUAGAUAUGUGGAGGAACACCGAUGGCGAAGGCAGCCCCCUGGGAUAAGACUGACGCUCAUGUACGAAAGCGUGGGGAGCAAACAGG